UUUCCGUAGGUGAACCUGCGGAAGGAUCAUUAUUGUAUAACCGAGGUGCGAGGGCUGUCGCUGACCCGAAAGGUCGUGCACGCCCGAGUGCCCUCACACACAUCCAUUUCACCCCUAUUUGCACCACCGCGUGGGUCCCCCUUUGGCUUGUUCGGAGGGGGGCUUACGUUUUCACACAAACUUUGUAUGCAGUGUAGAAUGUAUUUUUUGUUUUUGCGAUCACGCAAUCAAUACAACUUUCAACAACGGAUCUCUUGGCUCUC
rnacentral:misc_RNA from 1 species